CCCUUAGAUGUUCUGGGCCGCACGCGCGCUACACUGAUGCAUUCAACAAGCCUAGCCUUGACCGAGAGGUCCGGGUAAUCUUUGAAACUGCAUCGUGAUGGGGCUAGAUUAUUGCAAUUAUUAAUCUUCAAAGAGGAAUGCCUAGUAAGCGUGAUUCAUCAAAUCGCGUUGAUUACGUCCCUGCCCUUUGUACACACCGCCCGUCGCUCCUACCGAUUGAAUGUGUUGGUGAGGAGCUCGGAUUGGCAGCAGUUGGUGGUUCGCCACCGGCUAUUGCUGAGAAGUCCUCCAAACCGCCCCAUUUAGAGGAAGGAGAAGUCGUAACA
rnacentral:rRNA from 1 species